rnacentral:rRNA from 1 species
AAAUUGAAGAGUUUGAUCAUGGCUCAGAUUGAACGCUGGCGGCAGGCCUAACACAUGCAAGUCGAACGGUAACAGGAAGAAGCUUGCUUCUUUGCUGACGAGUGGCGGACGGGUGAGUAAUGUCUGGGAAACUGCCUGAUGGAGGGGGAUAACUACUGGAAACGGUAGCUAAUACCGCAUAAGGUCGCAAGACCAAAGAGGGGGACCU